AAGCUUGGCGUUUCAGACCCUAUAAUUCUCUCUUUGUCUGAAUUAAGCUUGAAAAUCCUCAGAGCUCCCUGUUACCUACAAGAAGUUGAGAGAUAAUUAAGUAUGAUGGUUUCUGCUCAGGGCAAAGAAAAGCCAGCGCCAUAAAGCUCCAGAAGAGCUCCUUUGAUGCGUUGGAAUUGUGCACAGAAAAGAAUAAAAAAGGAAAUGGGGCCAAAGAUUUGGAAAGGUGCGUUGCACCAUGUAAAAUGAAAGAAAAAGGCAAAGUUUUUUGGAAUGGUAUAGAAUGUGAAUGAAUAAUAAUAAUAAUAUAAUAAAAGAGGGUCAAGGUUUUUGGAUGGUGUUAUACCAUCUGAAAAGAAAGAAGAAAAUAUAUAUUUAUUUAUGUGAAUGGUGUUGGCUUAAAACACUUUCAUAAGUUUUAUUUAUUUAAAACAAUUUAUUUACAGUGGGUAGAAUUAUUACCCUUU